rnacentral:rRNA from 1 species
UACGUAGGGUGCUAGCGUUGUCCGGAUUUAUUGGGCGUAAAGGGCUCGUAGGCGGCGUGUCGCGUCGGCCGUGAAAUCUCCACGCUUAACGUGGAGCGUGCGGUCGAUACGGGCAGACUUGAGUUCGGUAGGGGAGACUGGAAUUCCUGGUGUAGCGGUGAAAUGCGCAGAUAUCAGGAGGAACACCGGUGGCGAAGGCGGGUCUCUGGGCCGAUACUGACGCUGAGGAGCGAAAGCGUGGGGAGCGAACAGG